GACGAACGCUGGCGGCGUGCCUAAUACAUGCAAGUCGAACGCAGUGGGGACGGGAGAGGAACACGUGGGUAACCUGGCAUCAGAGGGGAUAACACUUGGAAACAGGUGCUAAACCGAUAAUGAUGGAUGGAACGGCGUUGGAUUAGCUAUGUGGUGGGGAAACGUCGCACCAAGGCCACGCUCCAUAGCCGACCUGAUAGGGUGAUCGGCCCCCCUGGGGCUGAGACACAGCCCAUCCUCCUACGGGAGGCAGCCGUAGGGAAUCUUCAGCAAUGGACGCAAGUCUGACCGAGCCAUGCCGCGUGUGUGAAGAAGGUUUUCGGAUUGUAAAGCUCUUUUUUUGAGGAAGCGGUAUCUACCCAAAAAGCCACGGCUAACUCCGUGCCAGCAGCCGCGGUAAUUC
rnacentral:rRNA from 1 species